UACGUAGGGUGCAAGCGUUAAUCGGAAUUACUGGGCGUAAAGCGUGCGCAGGCGGUGAUGUAAGACAGAUGUGAAAUCCCCGGGCUCAACCUGGGAACUGCAUUUGUGACUGCAUCGCUGGAGUGUGGCAGAGGGGGAUGGAAUUCCGCGUGUAGCAGUGAAAUGCGUAGAUAUGCGGAGGAACACCGAUGGCGAAGGCAGCCCCCUGGGUCAAGACUGACGCUCAUGCACGAAAGCGUGGGGAGCAAACAGG
rnacentral:rRNA from 1 species